CUUUAAUGGUCAUAAUCUUAAAACUGCCUUAACGGCAACAAACCAGCUGUCGUUUCGGUCCAUGCAUAUUUCAUUUAAUUGUCCAUAUAAUUCUGACAACAUGGCGCUCAGGGGGGGCAUAAUGUUUGACAAACAUCUCUUGUUUCCAAGGUUUUUCUUACCAGUGUGUUUGCAUUUAUUUCUUAAUUACUUUCUUCUUAAUCCCUUUUAUUGCAGAACUGUAUGAAUAAUCAAUCCCUUUUAAACUGUCCAUUCGAACCAACACAGCAAAUGAAAUUGAAGUUGCAGUGAUGGUAUUGAUUGUAUCAGAUAGAUAUGUGCACAGCAUGUGUUUAAAUGCAGUCAUGGUUUUGCCAAUUGGCAGAAGGAAUAUAGUGUACAAUACAAAUCAACACAAACAACAAAACAAAAAGCUCAUGACAAUUUCCAUUAGAUAAGCAGUUGUUGAUAUAUAUUUUAGCUGGUAGAACGCUUCCUUAAUGGACAGAGUUUGCAGUUCAGUAUGAAGAAAGACGAACUGGUAGGUGUGCGAAAAACCAUUGCUGCCCAUCUGCUCCAUAAUGCAGUGAUGAUAGAACCAACUGUUGAAGAUGGCAUACCAGCUGUUGAGGAAGCUGCUCAGUCCCAAAGCCAACCUAUAGAAGAAGCUGCCAUAUCAGCUGUUGAAGAAGCUGUUGAUUCAAAAAGCCAACCUCCUGUUGACAAAGCCACCAUACCUGCUGAUCAGCUCGCAAGCCAACCUCCUGUAGAGAAAGCUCACAAGAGAAAAAGGAAGGACAAGGGGAAAUCUUUCAUUUUUCUACUCGAAGCAGAAGAAGUCAAGCAGAAUUUAUUGUGUCUGUAGAAAAAGGAACGAUGGCAGGCUAUAUUGGCACUGUGAUUCAUGCAAUGAGUGGUACCAUCCUGUUUGCAUGGGUUUUGAUGAAAAGGAAGAACCACAUGUAGACAUUUGCCCUUCAUGUCAGAUGAAAAUUAAAAGAAAGGCAUGCCCUACACUUGAGGAAGUUGAAGAAAAGCUGCGAAAAGACACUGAAGUAGAAAACUCAGAUCCUAUGGACGAAACUUUGGCAGGAGGUUUGCAGGACCAUUCUGAAACAACCCCAGUCUUUUUGAACCAUCCACAUGUGAGGUUUUUCAUUGAGAUUAAAAAAAGAAAAGGACAAGAAAUUUUAAUUCAGGCAUCUGGUUGGGGUGAAUUUGUAUUGAUGUCAGAGAAUGAUUUUGAGAACUAUGAGUCGUUCAAAAAUAAAACUACAGAGGACCUACUAAUAUUAGAUUGUUCCCUGGAGUACUUUUUAAGUGUUUGUGUCAAGGAAAAGGUAGAAGUAUUGUAUUAUACAGACUUUAUUGUUAGGCUCGUUCCUUCGAAUGUCAUUGACCAAUACAAGAAAUGGCUAGAAGAAGCAAAAUGUAGUCUUCAUCUUGACUAGUUUUUUUUGUGAAACCUUACAGAAGGUUAACCAAGUAAAAUGUUUGUUAUUGAGACUGCAUUGUCAGGAUGCUUGAUAAUUUUGGAAUGUUUAAUGUAUUAUUUUGUCUUUGUGUUAUACAUUUCUUCUAAGUAGACAAUGGUCAAGCUUUAAUUUAUUAUGGAAAUGAAUUAAGGCAGAAGUAUUUACAGUUUACCGGUACUUUCAUCAGUGUUUAUUAAGUAAUUUCUUUUCUAUUGAUCAAAAAAUAUAUUUGUGGCAAAACAAAUUUCAGCUGCUGACAGUCAACUUGGUACUAUGUUAAAAUUCUGGGAUUGACUUGAAUCAGUCGUUACCAUUGUGAGGCUCUGCUUUACAGUUGAGAUACCUGAUAUUGGAGUAACUAGUUUGCAGGAAAUUUAUUCAGCACUGUAGAUUGUGCAUUUUAGUUUGGGAAUUAGGAAUUAGGGGGUUAUAGGGCGUGUCAAGUUGGUUGUUGCUUUAUCCUUGGUAGGGCCCUUGUGCACAGUCUACCUUGGAUUUAUGUUAAAAACAAUAAUAUUGUUUAAACUAUGAUAUCAUAAUGUAGGUGAGAAAUAUUAUCGUAUCUAGUCAACACACUUAAAGGGGACACCAGAUGGUCCAAAAAAAGACAAAUGCACAAUAUCCACAAGACGAGCCUAGAAUUGUCAAUACCAGCUAGUAUAAGACUGAUUAAACAUCAUUUUACGUAAUUAAAAUAAUAUUUUGUCUCAGUCUUAGCUGACUAAACCCUUUAAAAUUAGCGCAUAAUGGUUUCUCACUUUAUAGUGUGUAUAUUUAUCAUGUGAAAGUCAUGUUAUUAGUACAGAUACAUAUACCAAUGCUACUUCUAUAUUUACUGGGAUUCACAUGAUAGACAGCCUCAGUAAAUUAUGAAUUGAAAAAAAGGUGCAAAAAAUGCUAAAUAUAACUGUGUUGUAAGCGAUUUGAUACAGUAAGUAAGAUUCAAUACAUGUACGCAACGAUAUUAACUUUAUGUAAGUUUUUGACAUUUUUUUUUCCUUGCAUUUGUAUCAUCUGGUGCCUAUUCCCUUUAAAGGCCCUUGAUCUCUCAUUACACAUGAAAUGUCUUGAAAUCAAAAUCAAAAGGGAAUGUACAUAGUUUUUGUAACCUGUGUGACUUAUUGUUGGAGUUGAAGAUGACAUGGAAUAAAACAUGACCUUUAGAAAUAUUAUUUCAAAAGAAUUAAAAAUUAAACAUUAGAUAUAAGGAAAAUGGGUAUCCACAUUAUGGUUAGGUAAUUGCAAGUUGCGCUAUCAUUUGAGGUGUUUGAUUUGUAAUAAGUUUAUUUAUUGCAUGCAGAAAAUUAUUACAUUUUUAUGAUCAGUAGAUUCAUUUCAUACGGGUCAUUAAAUAGCGAACGCAAAGCAUGAUUUAAAGACCAGUAAAUGGCAAACCAUCCCAUGUUCUAUCACUUCUUAUUCAAUUGAAAUAGAUAACAUUAAAAUCAAUUAAUUGUUAUUUUUACCUCUUUUUUCAGUGAUUUCAGACCAAUCGAUAUGUAAAAAAAAAGAUUAUUUAAGCCUAUUUUGCCAAUUAACAUGAAAAAUAUGUUUGUGUAUCUACACUCAACGAAACUUCUAUCCUUUGUAUUUUUGGAUAACUUUAGUAAAAUUCAAGGGAAAUAAGAAUUACUCUGCAUGCUUUAAGAUUAUUGCAUUUGACAAUUUUUGAUAGAAAUUCGUUAGUAGUGAUUUUUUUUGUCCCCUUAAACAAAUUUAGAAAAUUGGAAGUAUUGUGCAUUUUUUAUGAUUACUUUUUUAUAACAACAUAAUAUAUACUUAUUAGAAAUUCUUCAUACUUUACAAGUUUAAAGGAUAAAUUACAUGUUCGCCAUUGCAUUUCAUGCUGAUUUAAAAAAAAAUCAUUUAAAAAAUGAUAAACUUAUGUUUGUAUUAAGUAAUAUGAAUAAUAUUACCAUCACCUUUGUUUAAUUAUGUGCAAAUAUAGAAAAAUAAUGUAAACAUGUCUCAAUUUGUUAUUGUUUAACAUCUUUAAUUGUUGGAUUGAUUUCUAUGAACUUAAUUUUUUUUACCAUUCAAUGAUUUGAUAUUCAGUUAUACAUGUGAGAAAAAUUGAUUCUUUUUUCUAUUUCUUUUUUUUAUUCUUUUCUUGGAAUAAAAUAAAAUAAUAGAAAUAAGUAUUCAGUGUAAUGUACAUCGCAUUAAUGAUAAUAGCCACAAACUCAGAAAAUAUAAGCUCAGUUCUAAAGUAUAUGCUUUAUCUUACAAAAUUAUUACAUUAACAUCGUCAUCCUUGUGUAACAACUUUGUGCCUUAUAACAUGUAAUAUAUAUUGCUGUACAUACUGUAUAUAUGGCCGUUUGUUUGUUAAAUAUGUUUAAAUCACUUUUGGGUGGAAAUAAAGAGAAUAAUAAGUUACUGUUAUUUCCUGAAGAUUUCUUAUUAAAUCGAGACUUUUUCUGCAAUUUUUUGAAGCACCUUUUUUCAUGCUAAUAACUUGAAACUAUUGCCCAAAUAAUUAAAAGCCAAAUGUUUGAAAAGUGUUUGAAAGUUAAUAUAAUGUAAGUCCUGGCCCCAAUAUCUCGAAACUUGUUAAGCUUGUUGGGCUUGGUCAGAAUUUUUUUCAUUAUUUUUAGCUCACCUGAGCACGAAUUGCUCAAGGUGAGCUAUUGUGAUCGCCCUGUGUCUGUUGUCCAUCGUCGUCUGUCGUCAACAAUUUGACUGUUAACACUAGAGGUCACAAUUUGGGCACAAUCUGAAUGAAACUCGGUCAAUAUGUUACCAUCAAUGAAAGCUUGGACGAGUUCGAUCAUCUGGGGUCAAAAACUAGGUCACAAGGUCAAAUCAUAGGAAAAGCUUGUUAGCUCUCUAGCGGUCACAUGGAUGACUGUAUAUUCAUGAAACUUAGUCAGAAUGUAUAUAUUGAUGAGCUCUAGGCUAAGUUCGAAUCUUGGUAAUGUGUGGUCAAAAACUAGGUCACCAGGUCAAAUAAUAGGAAAAGCAUGUUAACACUCUAGAGGCCACAUUUAUGACCAUAUGUUCAUGGAACUUGAUCAGAAUGUUAUUCUUGAUAAUCUUUAGGUUGAGUUUCAAACUGGGAAAUCAGAGGUCAAAAACCAGACCACUAGGUCAGAUCAUAGAAAAACUUUGUAAACACUGUAGAGGUUACAUUCUUUGUUUGAUCACCAUGAAACUAUGUCAGAAUUUUUGUGUUUAUGAAGUCUAUGUCAAGUUUGAAACUGAGUAAACUCAGUUCAAAAACUAGGUCACGAAGUCAAAUCAUAGAAACAUUGUUAAAACACUGUUGAGGCCAUAUUUUCUAAUUUAUCUAUAUGAAACCUGGUCAGAAUGUACUUAUUACAGCAAGGUAAGGUUUGCAACUGGGUCAUCCGUGAUAUUAAAAAAAAACUUGGUCACUAGGAAGGAUCUAACCCCCUGUCACAAUUGCCUUGCCCUGAAAAUACUUAUUUCACACUUAAAUUGGAUCAGGUGAGCGAUACAGGGCCUUCAGGGCCCUCUUGUUUAUGAUAAUUGUUUAACCAGCAUAUGUAUUUUGGUAUUUAUACAUGAGUUGUAAUGUAAAAGUGAAAUAAUAUUGACUCUUCUUAAAAAGUGUCUAGUUGUUACCUUCCAUUUUUCAUGUAAAAUUAUUUCAUGUUGUUGCAUUUGUUACGAUUUUUUUCUGGAUUGGCAA